GUUUUCGUGGUGUAGUUGGUUAUCACGUACGCCUCACAGAAACAUGGAUCAAUCAGAAAUGGUUGGUGCAUACAAAUGUCGCGUAAGGUCUCCGGUUCGAACCCGGGCGAAAACA